rnacentral:rRNA from 1 species
CAGUAGCCGCGGUAAUGCGAAGGGUGCAAGCGUUACUCGGAAUUACUGGGCGUAAAGCGUGCGUAGGUGGUGGUUUAAGUCCGUUGUGAAAGCCCUGGGCUCAACCUGGGAAUUGCAGUGGAUACUGGAUCACUAGAGUGUGGUAGAGGAUAGUGGAAUUUCCGGUGUAGCAGUGAAAUGCGUAGAGAUCGGAAGGAACAUCUGUGGCGAAGGCGGCUUACUGGCUCAUUCUAGACGCUGAGGUGCGAAAGCGUGGGGAGCAAACAGGAUUAGAUACCCGCGUAGUCCCUGUCUCUUAUAC